rnacentral:snRNA from 1 species
UUGCUUUGGCAGUACAUAUGCUAAAAUUGAAAUGAUACAGAGAAGAUUAACAUGGCCCCUGCACAAGGAUGACAUGCAAAUUCAUGAAGUGCUCCAUAUAUUU